rnacentral:rRNA from 1 species
UACAGAGGGUGCGAGCGUUAAUCGGAAUUACUGGGCGUAAAGCGUGCGUAGACGGUUCCGUAAGUCGGAUGUGAAAUCCCCGGGCUCAACCUGGGAAUUGCAUUCGAGACUGCGAGGCUAGGGUGCGGAAGAGGGAAGCGGAAUUUCCGGUGUAGCGGUGAAAUGCGUAGAUAUCGGAAGGAACAUCAGUGGCGAAGGCGGCUUCCUGGUCCAGCACCGACGUUCAGGCACGAAAGCGUGGGGAGCAAACAGG